AAUUAAAGAAAAUUGGAAAUUUUCAAAACACCUCCUCCUCAAUUCUUUCUUCACCCAAAAUUAAUUGGAUGCAUUCAACCAAAAAGAAGUAGUAGCAAAUUUGUGGAUUCAUCAUCCAUCAUCAUCUCGGUCGCCCCUUUUACAAAAUCGACAUCAACCUCUCUCUCUCUCUCUCUCUCUCUCUCUCUCUCUCUCACACUCUCUCUUUUCGUGAUUGUUAGAGAAACAGUUCUAGACAUCAACCUCAUUUUUUUAGGCGGCAGCCAUGCAUGGUUACCAUAUGAUUGUUUGGAUCGGCUGGUGUAGAGUUAUUUGAGAGUUUAUGGAGGUUUUUUCACAAGAUGGAUGGGGACUUAAUUAGAUUUUAUGUAUUUGAGAUGCUCUGUUGAUGGAUUUCUGAUGUGAUGUGGAUGGUAUUGAGAUGAAUUUGUUGGGUGUCGUAGUGGUGGUUUUCUUGGAUCUUGAGAUUAAUAAUGAUGUUGUUCUUUCGAUUUUUUUAUUUGAUCGAUCUAUUGUUGGACUUUGAAUGAUUCCUACUACAAGUACAUGAAGAAACAAUGAGGAGAUAAAUGUGUAAAAAAUUAUUUUUUC
rnacentral:lncRNA from 1 species